GAAUUGCGAUAAGUAAUGUGAAUUGCAGAUCACAGAAUCAUUAAAUCUUUGAACGCACAUUGCGCUCCCUUAAUACGGAGCAUGCCUGUUUGAGAAUCUGUUUAAUUAUCACGCUAGUUGUUUGUUCAAUUAGAGUGGAUUUGGGACAUGUCUUUUGGUAACCGGGGUUAUCGAGAGACUGGCCUUGAAGAAAUGUGUACAUCAUCGAGAUUGACGACAUGAUCAUAGGACGCAGGUUCAUAGAACUGUUCAAGUAAUCUUUGUUUGUUGCGACACCACCUUUAUUAAAUACUUGUGCAUUUAUGCAUAAAAGACUUUGAUCUCAAAUCAGGCAAGACUACCCGCUGAACUUAA
rnacentral:misc_RNA from 1 species